AGGGUGACAGGUGGUGCAGUGGUUGUCGUCAGCUCGUGUCGUGAGAUGUUGGGUUAAGUCCCGCAACGAGCGCAACCCUUGUCCUAUGUUGCCAGCAUUAAGUUGGGGACUCAUGGGAGACUGCCGGCGUCAAGCCGGAGGAAGUGGGGAUGACGUCAAGUCAUCAUGCCCCUUAUGUCCUGGGCUGCACACGUGCUACAAUGGCCGGUACAAUGGGCUGCGAUACCGUGAGGUGGAGCGAAUCCCAUAAAACCGGCCCCAGUUCGGAUCGAAGGCUGCAACUCGCCUUCGUGAAGUCGGAGUUGCUAGUAAUCGCGGAUCAGCAUGCCGCGGUGAAUACGUUCCCGGGCCUU
rnacentral:rRNA from 1 species